rnacentral:rRNA from 1 species
AAAUUGCAGUUGAUACUGGGGGCCUUGAGUGCGGCAGAGGCAGGCGGAAUUCGUGGUGUAGCGGUGAAAUGCUUAGAUAUCACGAAGAACUCCGAUUGCGAAGGCAGCUUGCUGGACCGUAACUGACGUUGAUGCUCGAAAGUGCGGGUAUCAAACAGGAUUAGAUACCCUGGUAGUCCGCACAGUAAACGAUGAAUACUCGCUGUUGGCGAUAUACUGCCAGCGGCCAAGCGAAAGCGUUAAGUAUUCCACCUGGGGAGUACGCCGGCAACGGUGAAACUCAAAGGAAUUGACGGGGGCCCGCACAAGCGGAGGAACAUGUGGUUUAAUUCGAUGAUACGCGAGGAACCUUACCCGGGCUUGAACUGCAGCGGAAUGAUUUGGAAACAGAUCAGCGAGCAAUCGCCGCUGUGGAGGUGCUGCAUGGUUGUCGUCAGCUCGUGCCGUGAGGUGUCGGCUUAAGUGCCAUAACGAGCGCAACCCUUACCGAUAGUUGCCAUCAGGUGACGCUGGGGACUCUAUCGGGACUGCCGUCGUAAGAUGUGGGGAAGGUGGGGAUGACGUCAAAUCAGCACGGCCCUUACGUCCGGGGCUACACACGUGUUACAAUGGGGGGUACAGCAGGCCGCUACCGGGCGACCGGAUGCCAAUCCCUAAAACCCCUCUCAGUUCGGACUGGAGUCUGCAACCCGACUCCACGAAGCUGGAUUCGCUAGUAAUCGCGCAUCAGCCACGGCGCGGUGNNNACGUUCCCGGGCCUUGUACACACCGCCCGUCAAGCCAUGAAAGCCGGGGNNNNNNNNAGUGCGCUUCCGCGAGGGGCGCCCUAGGGUAAAACCGGUGAUUGGGGCUAAGUGGUAACAAGGUAGCCGUAA